rnacentral:rRNA from 1 species
CCUACGGGGGGCAGCAGUGGGGAAUAUUGGGCAAUGGGCGCAAGCCUGACCCAGCAACGCCGCGUGAAGGAAGAAGGCUUUCGGGUUGUAAACUUCUUUUCUCAGGGACGAAGCAAGUGACGGUACCUGAGGAAUAAGCCACGGCUAACUACGUGCCAGCAGCCGCGGUAAUACGUAGGUGGCAAGCGUUAUCCGGAUUUACUGGGUGUAAAGGGCGUGUAGGCGGGAAAGCAAGUCAGAUGUGAAAACCAUGGGCUCAACCUGUGGCCUGCAUUUGAAACUGUUUUUCUUGAGUACUGGAGAGGCAGACGGAAGUCCUAGUGUAGCGGUGAAAUGCGUAGAGAUUAGGAGGAACACCAGUGGCGAAGGCGGUCUGCUGGACAGCAACUGACGCUGAGGCGCGAAAGCGUGGGGAGCAAACAGGAUUAGAUACCCGAGUAGUC